rnacentral:rRNA from 1 species
UACGGAGGGUGCAAGCGUUAUCCGGAUUCACUGGGUUUAAAGGGUGCGUAGGCGGGCAGGUAAGUCCGUGGUGAAAUCUCCGAGCUUAACUCGGAAACUGCCAUGGAUACUAUUUGUCUUGAAUGUUGUGGAGGUGAGCGGAAUAUGUCAUGUAGCGGUGAAAUGCUUAGAUAUGACAUAGAACACCAAUUGCGAAGGCAGCUCACUACACAAAUAUUGACGCUGAGGCACGAAAGCGUGGGGAGCAAACAGG